rnacentral:rRNA from 1 species
AUACAGGGGGUGCGAGCGUUAAUCGGAAUUACUGGGCGUAAAGAGUACGUAGGCGGUUGCUUAAGUCAGAUGUGAAAGCCCCGGGCUCAACCUGGGAACUGCAUUUGAAACUGAGUGACUAGAGUUUAAGAGAGGGGAGUAGAAUUCCGGGUGUAGCGGUGAAAUGCGUAGAGAUCCGGAGGAAUACCAGUGGCGAAGGCGGCUCCCUGGCUUAAAACUGACGCUGAGGUACGAAAGCGUGGGUAGCAAACCGGAUUAGAAACCCUAGUAGUCC